rnacentral:lncRNA from 1 species
UGGGGCAGAAGUGGAGGUGCUCGGCAUCCCCAAAAGAUCAGCAGCGGUGGCUGUAGCAGUCGAUGAGGUCCCAGUUGGAGGAGGACCGACAGCGGCUUUGGAUGGUCCGACUUCAUCGUCGGAUGCCUCAUCCAGAAAGUCGAGAUCCAGUUCGAAAAACAUUCCAACCACCUUCCCUUGAUAGAGUUCGAAACCCUUGAUGAAGGU